GUGGAGUCUGCUUUACCUGUUGCUCUCCUGGAGCCAUACACAGCCCUGGAGGUACAGAGGACCACCUCUCUGUCUCUGGUUCAUUUGGAAGUUAAGAAACAAAGGAGAAGGGAAUUGGGAUGCUGGUGCCCCUGCUAGAAAUGCUCCAGUCUGGUGACCCCACUGUCCAGUGUAACUCCUGUCAAUGUGCUGCCUUACUGGCCUCCUCAGGCCUUGAUGGACAGUGAGUGUGUAACAGGACUUCUCAAGACCCUUGUGACUGUUCUGUGACUUACUUCCUGUUUGUAUCAUCUGACCAGCUGGGGUAAGAGGAUUGGG